rnacentral:lncRNA from 1 species
GGAAAGAUCUUCCGAAAAUGGUUUUGGGUGGGGGUAUCACCUACCCCCACGCGUCAUCUCUCUCCUCCAACGGUACAAAACAAAAAGAAAAAUAAAAGAGGGAGCAAAAAAGGACUCUCUGAGGUCCUCUCUCUAAGAAACAAAAAAAUAGGAAAAUAUAAAAAGAAAAAAAAGAAAACCCAACGGAAAAAAGGAGGAGGUUCUUCUGAACAUUUUCUUCUUUCUCCUUUAUAGGCCAACCUUCACACUUCUUCAAAACCCACCACGAACCACCGACCAUCGCCAUCAUUGACGUCACACCCUUCGCCACCAUCACCAAAUCUCC